CAGCUUCAGUGUCGAGUUUCUGCUGCUGAAUGUCGUUUCAUCAGAUGUAAGGGAGUGAGGAGCGGACCUGGGUGGGCUGCGGCUGCUCAUGCAGCUUGUUGCAAGACGCACCAUUUACCAGGAUGGGACUCCCACCGGAGCUGCAGCUACGGAGCGAAAUGAGAGGUGAGGCCGGCUAAACUGAGACGAGGAGGCCAACAGCGACGGAAAACCUCACACACCGAGGACGAGAUCUCAUAAUGCAGGCCGUUGUUGUGAAUGACUCCAGCAAUGGCCGCUGCGUAGAAGGAGAAUGUUUCUCUAAAUAAACGGCUUCUUGAGAUGUUUACUUCCGUUUGCAGCAGAAAACAAUAAACGGAAGCGAAGAUCUGACGAGCAUCUCCACUGUAGGUCUCAGACGAACACAAAGAGCAUCAAACAAAGGCAUAAAUUGGCGAUUUAAAAUAAAAAGCUUCAACAAAAAGCUCCGCUAACAGAGCGAGGAGAUUUUCAAAAAGCAGCAGAGUGGAUGUAACAAACACAAGCCGACACGCUGUGACACUUGGAGUCCGCAGAGACCGCCGUUCGCCCGCAGAGCCAGCGGUCCACCAUGGGGUGGUUGGCGCUGAGCGACGACCUGGCCGUGUCUCUCUGAAACUCUCUCUGAUUGGACCAGGUCCCUGCGUCCCUCGGCAGGCUGCGGCUGUUUGUGCCUGAGGAAUGGCGAGCCUUCAGGAAGCCGGCAGUGGUGGACCAGCGAGUCGGGUUCUUCCUGGAUGGAGGCUCUUCGGUUUGGACCCGCAACUCCGAGGCGC